GAUGAACGCUAGCGGCAGGCUUAACACAUGCAAGUCGAGGGGUAUAGUAGCAAUACUAGAGACCGGCGCACGGGUGCGUAACGCGUAUGCAAUCUACCUUUUACAGAGGGAUAGCCCAGAGAAAUUUGGAUUAAUACCUCAUAGCAUUGCGAAAUGGCAUCAUUUUGCAAUUAAAGUCACAACGGUAAAAGAUGAGCAUGCGUCCCAUUAGCUAGUUGGUAAGGUAACGGCUUACCAAGGCAACGAUGGGUAGGGGUCCUGAGAGGGAGAUCCCCCACACUGGUACUGAGACACGGACCAGACUCCUACGGGAGGCAGCAGUGAGGAAUAUUGGACAAUGGGCGCAAGCCUGAUCCAGCCAUGCCGCGUGCAGGAUGACGGUCCUAUGGAUUGAAACUGCUUUUUGACGAGAAGAAACACUUCCGACGUGUCGGAGCUUGACGGUAUCGUAAGAAUAAGGA
rnacentral:rRNA from 1 species